rnacentral:misc_RNA from 1 species
CUCUAGCCCUGAUGGCAGUAAAAAUCCUUUGCCUCGGCGACGCCAGCAAGCCGAUGCAAAGAUUACCUCGCCUAGUUAAUAUUUUUAAUUGGAGUUCGGUGAACUGCGUUUGGAACGGACAGCAAUAAAUAGC